AUUGAACGCUGGCGGCAGGCCUAACACAUGCAAGUCGAACGAGUGGCGGACGGGUGAGUAAUGUCUGGGAAACUGCCUGAUGGAGGGGGAUAACUACUGGAAACGGUAGCUAAUACCGCAUACCAUCAGAUGUGCCCAGAUGGGAAUAGCUAGUUGGUGGGGUAACGGCUCACCAAGGCGACGAUCCCUAGCUGGUCUGAGAGGAUGACCACUCACACGGGAACUGAGCAACGGUCCAGACUCCUACGGGAGGCAGCGGUGGGGAAUAUUGCACAGUGGGAGAAAGCCUGAGGCAGCCAUGCGGGGUGUAUGAAGAAGGCUGUCGGGUUGUACAGUACUUUCAGCGGGGGGGCGUUUCCCGCAGAAGAAGCCCCGGCUAACUCUGUGCCAGCGGCCGCGGUAUUC
rnacentral:rRNA from 1 species